GUUGGCUGUUGAAAUGAAACAUCGUUGACCGCGUGCCUCCAAAACUUUCAUUUAAUAUUGUGUAGACAGAGAGCGUUUUCACACCAAAAUGCAGUUUUCAGAUGGAUCCGGAUUAAUGUGGAUGUAGACUCAAAUAGAUGCAGUUUGCUGACCACCUGAACCUGAAUUCAGGGAGGUGAAGUAAAAGUGCAUGACCCAGAGGAUAAAAAAGAGGAAAAGAGCAAAAGAGAGAGAGAGAGAGAGAGAGAGAGAAAAGCUGUGUGUGUGUUUGUUUGUGUGUGUGUGUGUACUUGUGUUCAGACUUUGUGAAAGCGUGUUUAAGGCCAAAUAAAUGCAGUCUUGUUUUUUUGUAAACCA